ensembl:lncRNA
CCACGCCUGUCACAUCUGCUGCUUUCCUACUGGGUGUUUGUAGGCAUGGAGUGUGUGUGCUGGCUCUGGUUGGUGCCUGAGCCAGCCCUGGACGUCGCAGCACACGGGACAAGACACUUUCUUCCCCACCCCCUCCACUUUCCUCAUCUCCUCCAGGAGGCCAUAACGUGAGCGUUUACAUUAGUCUGCUCAAUGAGUAAGGAAAAGUCAGGAUAGGGAAGUGGGUGGGGGCCAUGGCAAUCUCUUUGUCACCACAAGUACAGCUGAGAUUGUGCCCCUUCCGGUCAUACUCUGACAGCAGCUGCCACAGCCACCGCACCCUCAGCCGAGUUUCCAGGAACCAAGUGGCUGUACCCAGUGCCCCCCGGCAAGCUGACAGAUCGGAAAACAGACCAAAAGAUGACUCCAGAGAAAAUUCACUGCGUCAGAACAACUCUGCGGCCCUCAGCCCCAGCCCCUUCUGCUUCUAUUUCUACAGCUUAUGCAGUAGGUAUUCCAGCUGUCUGUCACCUGCAGGGGGAGGAUGUCACACAUGCGCAGUGAUAACGCCCUGAUGCUUCUUUGGAAAGGAUCUCCAUAGACAUGUGUGCCAAACACAGAGGCGAAGAUGAGAACAAAGCCUCCAUAAUGCACCCUGCUGACGAUCCCUGACUUAAAUGGUUCAGUGUUUAUGAUGCUGAGAAAGAGGUUCACAUUCAGUAGCAAACAGACUUCCAGUUUUGAAUUUUGAUCUUUUCUCACAUAAGAAAUACUCAGCAAGAUACUGCCUUUGGAUGUUAAGCAAUCAGCCACUCAACUUCAAGCAUAGAGAGCUGAUACUGUGUACCAUGUUCUUCAACUAUGAUGCUCAGUAGGUUUGGGUGAUUAAAUGCUUUUUCUGUGUAUGAUAUUUUCAAUUUAAGAUUGAUUAAUCAGAACUUAAAGAACAUCUGUAUUUCAAAAGGUUUAUCUGCUAAAAUAUGUUUUUGUAGGGAUGCAAUUAAGCUUUAUUUUAUAUAUCUGCCCCAGCAAUGUCUAGCCCUUCUAGCUGCUACAGAUUUCAGGCUUAUUCUCAUGAGCAAUGUCCCCUACUCGGGAUAUUUCUUUCUCAUUCCCCUGCUCUCAAAAUCCUACAGGACCUCCUAUGUGGCAAGGUCCUACCCUCAGCAAUCAGAAAUAUAUAUUUAUGGUGGGAAGGGAAGGGGAAAGGGAAGAAGGGAAAGGAAAAAUUAGGAGAAAAGAAAAAAAAAGCAAACGAAAUCUAUGUAAAUAGGGAAGGGUGGAGGGGGUGAAGGGUGCACAGGUAAUGUGGAGAAAAAUAAGAACCAAGAUAUAUCAUGUACAGGUACAAGCACCCAGUGAUAAAUGUAAACGUAUUGUAUACCUAAAAUAUACCAAUAAAAGAAUUAUAAAAAAGAAAUAUAUGUUUAUAGUAAUGCUAAUAGCUUAUAAGGUAUUAUCUAUCUUGUUGGGAUUUGCUAACCAAAUGGGAAGAAAUGAGCACAUUAACUGAGAGAAUUCAACAGUUCUUUAGAGUCUGAUUCAUGG